CACACACACACACACACACACACACGGACAGACACACACACACACACAAGGACAGACAGACACACACACACACACACACACACACACAUACGCACAAAGACAGACACACACACACACACACACACACAGCAGUGUAGUAAAUUCCCUCUGACUGAACAACAACAAGUGGCUCAUUGUGUUUGUCUCUUCUAUUAAAGACUUCUCUUCAGCUGGAGCGAACGGAGGGAAACGUUCCCGUCGAAGAGAAGACAAAGAGUGGAUUAGUUUCUGCCCGCUCAUCAAAAGAAAAACAGAAAUCUAUAAUAUUCUCACUUCUGUCUCCGGCUUGUCAGGACACAUUUUCACAGCUACAAAACUAAACCAUUUGACAUUUUAAUUCCAGAUUUUUGCAGUUUCUUUGGGGAAUUAUCAACCAACGGGAGAUUGUGAAAAUGUGACUCUUUACGUGAGAAAACAAAAACAAAAACAAGCAAAAAAAAAAAAAUGAUUUAUUAAAACCGAAAAAUAAACACAAAUAUGUUCUGCUUCCAGCUUCUUCAAUGUGCAGAUUUGCUUUUUUUUCUGUGUUUUU